rnacentral:rRNA from 1 species
CAAGUCGAACGGUCCGCUUCGGCGGAUAGUGGCGCACGGGUGCGUAACACGUAUGCAACCUACCUUACAUUGGGGGAUAGCCUUUCGAAAGGGAGAUUAAUACCGCAUAAGACAGUAGCUGGGCAUCCAGUAGCUGUUAAAGAUUUAUCGAUGUAAGCUGGGCAUGCGUCCAAUUAGUUAGUUGGUGAGGUAACGGCUCACCAAGACGAUGAUUGGUAGGGGAACUGAGAGGUCAAUCCCCCACACUGGCACUGAGAUACGGGCCAGACUCCUACGGGAGGCAGCAGUAGGGAAUAUUGGGCAAUGGACGCAAGUCUGACCCAGCCAUGCCGCGUGCAGGAAGAAGGCGUUCUGCGUUGUAAACUGCUUUUAUAUAGGAAGAAACGACCCUUGCGAGGGGCAUUGACGGUAUUAUAUGAAUAAGCACCGGCUAACUCCGUGCCAGCAGCCGCGGUAAUACGGAGGGUGCAAGCGUUGUCCGGAUUUAUUGGGUUUAAAGGGUGCGCAGGUGGUUUAUUAAGUCAGUGGUGAAAGACGGUCGCUCAACGAUUGCAGUGCCAUUGAUACUGAUAGACUUGAGUAAAGUAGAGGUGGGCGGAAUUGAUAGUGUAGCGGUGAAAUGCAUAGAUAUUAUCAAGAACUCCGAUUGCGAAGGCAGCUCACUUGGCUUUUACUGACACUCAUGCACGAAAGUGUGGGUAUCAAACAGGAUUAGAUACCCUGGUAGUCCACACUGUAAACGAUGAUAACUAGGUGUUGGCCGAAUCUGGUCAGUGCCACAGCGAAAGCGUUAAGUUAUCCACCUGGGGAGUACGCCGGCAACGGUGAAACUCAAAGGAAUUGACGGG